UUAAUGGGGUAUGUACGAUAAAUCAUAUUAUGUACUAUGUAAAACCAAGCAUUUAAUUUGGUUGAGG
rnacentral:tRNA from 1 species